GAUGAACGCUGGCGGCGUGCCUAAUACAUGCAAGUCGAGCGAACAGACGAGGAGCUUGCUCCUCUGACGUUAGCGGCGGACGGGUGAGUAACACGUGGAUAACCUACCUAUAAGACUGGGAUAACUUCGGGAAACCGGAGCUAAUACCGGAUAACAUGUUGAACCGCAUGGUUCAACAGUGAAAGACGGUCUUGCUGUCACUUAUAGAUGGAUCCGCGCCGCAUUAGCUAGUUGGUAAGGUAACGGCUUACCAAGGCAACGAUGCGUAGCCGACCUGAGAGGGUGAUCGGCCACACUGGAACUGAGACACGGUCCAGACUCCUACGGGAGGCAGCAGUAGGGAAUCUUCCGCAAUGCGCGAAAGCCUGACGGAGCAACGCCGCGUGAGUGAAGAAGGUCUUCGGAUCGUAAAACUCUGUUAUUAGGGAAGAACAAAUGUGUAAGUAACUAUGCACGUCUUGACGGUACCUAAUCAGAAAGCCACGGCUAACUACGUG
rnacentral:rRNA from 1 species